GACGAACGCUGGCGGCGUGCUUAACACAUGCAAGUCGAACGGAAAGGCCCUGCUUUUGUGGGGUGCUCGAGUGGCGAACGGGUGAGUAACACGUGAGUAACCUGCCCUUGACUUUGGGAUAACUUCAGGAAACUGGGGCUAAUACCGGAUAGGAGCUCCUGCUGCAUGGUGGGGGUUGGAAAGUUUCGGCGGUUGGGGAUGGACUCGCGGCUUAUCAGCUUGUUGGUGGGGUAGUGGCUUACCAAGGCUUUGACGGGUAGCCGGCCUGAGAGGGUGACCGGCCACAUUGGGACUGAGAUACGGCCCAGACUCCUACGGGAGGCAGCAGUGGGGAAUAUGGCACAAUGGGCGGAAGCCUGAGGCAGCAACGCCGCGUGCGGGAUGACGGCCUUCGGGUUGUAAACCGCUUUCGCCUGUGACGAAGCGGGAGUGACGGUAAUGGGUAAAGAAGCACCGGCUAACUACGUG
rnacentral:rRNA from 1 species